rnacentral:rRNA from 1 species
GACGUAGGGCGCGAGCGUUGUCCGGAUUUAUUGGGCGUAAAGAGCUCGUAGGCGGCUUGUCGCGUCGUCUGUGAAAUCCCGCGGCUCAACCGCGGGUCUGCAGUCGAUACGGGCAGGCUAGAGUUCGGUAGGGGAGACUGGAAUUCCUGGUGUAGCGGUGAAAUGCGCAGAUAUCAGGAAGAACACCCGUGGCGAAGGCGGCUCUCUGGGACGGUACUGACGCUGAGACGCGAAAGCGUGGGGAGCGAACAGG